GGGUCCCUCACGAGUUGCCCAUCUACCUCUCUUCGCCUGAAAAAGUAUAUUAUGCUUCUCAGCGAAGAGCAAUUAAAAAGGAUAUUAAGACGAGGAACGGAGAAUGAAGAACAGGUGGUAGCUUAGAGACCUUGGUCUCAGGAAGGAAGGACUCAAGGAAUAUUUGUUAUUGGCUUAACCCAUUUCCCGUUUCCCUGAGAAUAAUCGCCGGUGGCGCUCGCGGCUGCAGCAUUUACCCCAAGAUAACUCACAGAUUACAGUCCUAACCUUACCCCCAAAGUUUGCCACGAAAUAUCUCUUUUUUUUAAUUAUUAUUUUUGCAUCACUCUGGUAUAUCAUUAGUCUUUGGAAACAGAUGACAUCGUUCUAUUUAUAGCAUUCUAUUGUCAGUAGUGGUAGUGCCAUUUAUAAAAUAUAGUAAUUCUCGAUUUCUGAAAAAUGUCCAAUCCUAGAAAACGUAGCAUUCCUAUGCAGGAUGUUAACAUUGUUCUCAAACAUGUGUUAGAAGAUUCAUUAAUGAAUCCAAUUUUUCUGAAAUAGACAAUUCUGAUGAUUUUGGGGAUAGUGCUUUGGAAGACUAUGGUCACGCCUCUGGUCGAUUUGGAAUCUGGUGGUAAUAGGCCUACAUUAGCCCUACAGGUCACACUCUGAAGUGGUCAACUCAUGAUUCCACAUCAAAGGUAUGACUCCCAGCACACUUGGCAGAAAAGUUGAUGUCAGUUAUACUACUGACCCACCGCAGUAUUUUGAACUUGUUCUUUACUGAGGAAUUAGUUUCAAAAAUUACUAGCAAAACAAAUACCCACAUUGCCUUGCUGGCCUCAAAGCCACCUGGUUUGAAAGGAUUUUUGUGAAUGGUUAAAUGGAAAGACUCUGACAAUGACAAACAAAGUCUUUUUUGCAAUAAUGCUACUGCAAAGUAUUGUUCAGAAACCUGAGCUAGAGAUUUUUUUGGUUGACAAGGCCUCUUUGAGAAGCACCCUAUCUCAGGCAAAUUAUGACUGGUGAAAGAUCUUUUUCUUUGGUGCCUGCUAGUCAAUCAAAAGCCCAGAUGUCAUUGCAGAAGAUCGAUCCUGUGUUUAACUUUCUUGUAAAUAAGUUUUCAAUGUAUAUACUCCAAACAGAAACAUUACAGUCAUUGAAUCACUGAUGCUUUUCAAGGGGUGGUUAGCUAUGAAGCAGUACAUCCCGACAAAACAAGCACAGUUUGGUCUCAAGCUAUAUGUACUUUGUGAAAGUGAAUUUGAAAGAUUCAGCUGAUGGUUUGAAAUCGUCACGCAUUGUUCUUACCUUGGUCAAUGACCUUGGCCAAAGAUAUUGUGUCUUCCUUGAUAAUUUUUAUACAUCUCCCAUGCUUUUCAGAGAGUGACAUCAAACAGGACUAAUGCAGUUGUACAGAAAACAUGCCAAAUGAUCUGAAAAAAAGAACUGCAAAUGGAUGACUGUAGCCAUAAUCUGUGAUGAACUAAGAAACCAUGUGUCGUCGUGGGUUGUAACGAGAAUAUGGGAGCAAUGGAUUUGACUGAUCCGAUGCUCGCUUAUCCAACUAAGCACAAAAGGCACAAGUUUUGGUGUAAAAUUCUUUUGCCACCUUCCAAACAUUACAAAGCUGAACUCCCCACAUUCUCUUCAAAGAGGACAGUCCUUAGCACAUAGCCAUGUAAACUUCAGACUGACAUUGAUUGAAAGAAUGCUGGAAAAGCAUCCCGAGCCAGGGCAGCAACGUCUUCAAGACUGUCACACCUCUUCACCUGUCUGGAAGACAUUUCCCCAAGAGCAUACCACCAACAUCAGGGAAACAAUCCAUCUGGCUGCUGCAAAGUUUGCUGCUCGCACAAUGACAGGAUGGCAAGAAGAUCCCGAGAGAAACUAUUUUUGUGCAGAAUGAUGUUCAGCUUUGUGUUCCAUGCUUUGAAAUUUAAAAAAUAAAUAAAUACUGAUCGUCAUAUAUAUUUCUGUUAGGAUUAGAUACAAGUACUGUUUAGAAAUAACUCCAAGGACAGUUUUUAUAUUUUAUUUUCACAUUGAAAACCAGAUUUGCUUCAGCCUCAAAGACUAUGUUUAUAUAAAAUUAACACUGGCAUCAAGCUGCACUUUUUUUUUUCUAAAUGGAAAAUGAGUUAAAACCAAUUAUGGUAAGGUUUCUCUAGGCCUGGCCAUAUGUAAGCGGAAAUCUGCAGAGUGAGUCUUUUGGAAAGAAUUGCCCAUUUCUAGUAAAAGGACAAAUUCAGCAGAUGUGCUUCUUAACCCUUCUUCCUGAAACAUGCUCUUGAUACACAAGUAAAGCAGCAUCCAUUUUGACUUUUUUUAACAAUGAAACCACAAACAAAAGCCAACCAUAAAGUUUGAUAAUACAGAAUAAUGUGUGGAUGGGUCCCUGAUGCAUCUUUGAGCAGCUGUCUACUCCCAGACUGCUUAAGAAAAAUCCCUUUUAAUCUACUCUUAGUUUUCCAUUAGUUGUAGCCAAACACAUUCCUAACUAAAACAGGUAUUCUUUUGAUAAUUAUUUGUGUCUGUCAACUAUGCUUUUAAGGCCACAGAGGACCGAUAAUUGCUCUUGAAAAUAGAACAACAUUCUGAUCUUGAAACUUUUUUUUAAACAAAUCAGUUGCUUCCUAGUUUUUUUCUUUAAAAAGUUAUGUGAAAUGUUUGGUAAAAAUGCUUUGAGAAUCUAGAGAAUUAUUGUCAUAAAUGAUCACUGCUCUUCAGUCAUCACUUCAUUGCUCAACAAACCUUUGUAAAGGGCCAGAUGAUAAAUAUUUUAGGCUUUAUAAGCAUUCCAAAUCUCUUAUCACAACUAUUCACUCCGCCAGCAGGAAAGCAGCCAUAGACGAUAUGUAACUGAAUAAGUGUGGCUAAACUUUAUUUAUGGACACAAAUUUGAAAUUUAUAUUAUGUAUCAAAAUACUAUUUUAAUUUUUUUUCAAACAUUUAAAAAUGUAAAAAUUAUUCUUAGCCCAUAGGCAGUACAAAAACUUGUAACUAGCCAGAUUUGGCCUAUGGGCUGUAGUUUACCAACACUUUAUCUACUCCAGCUGCUUGUUAGUAGAUAAAGGCAUAGAAGCCAAUAAAAACAAGGUUGCCUGCCUCCUAACUUCACUCACUGUCUGCGCUAACUUGGUAUAUGCGACAACAGAGACUUUAAUGCACUUGAAAGGCGUGUGUUCUAAAAAUAUAAUGGAGCAAAAUCUCUGGUAAAAUGUGCCCUAAAUUUUUGUAAAUCUAGAUUUUAAAACCAAUAAUCAGCAAUUAGCAAACCUUCAGUAGGCAGAUUGAUAAAGAUGACUUCAGUAUUUUGUAUACAUGUCACCAUCUAGUGGUAGAAUUAUGCUUUGAGUAAAAUUAUACAAUAUGUGAAAUUUCAAAUUUCUCAAGUUUGUAGUGUAUUACUAGGUACUUGCCUGGAAACCAGUCCCACAUAAACAGCUUUGUAAAAUUAGUAUUGCCAUGGAAA